rnacentral:tRNA from 1 species
GGUAGGUUGGCUGAGUGGCCGAAAGCGGCGCCGUGCUAAGGCGUUAGGGGGGCAACCCCCUCGUGGGUUCGAAUCCCACACCUACCGCCA